UGAAAUAGGUUAAAUAGUCAUAUGCCUUUGGUUGUCACUGGUCUAAAGUCUCUUCGUCUUUUGAGUUGGUUUGAUAUCAUAUUAAUAUUAGCCUCUUGAUUCUGAAAUCCUAGUUUGAUGAUUCUUCAGUAAUGUGAUUUUUUAUGGUUUGUUGACCUUCGUCUCCUGAUCUUUAUUUGUUUAUUCCCUGAUGCUCUGAUUAGUUUUGUAGAUUUUUAUGCUAGUGAGUGUUUGAUUUUCACUUCAUAGUAACUUUGAUCUUUAGUACUUG
rnacentral:lncRNA from 1 species